rnacentral:rRNA from 1 species
GACGAACGCUGGCGGCGUGCCUAAUACAUGCAAGUUGAGCGAUGAAGCUUGGUGCUUGCACCAAUUUGAAGAGCAGCGAACGGGUGAGUAACGCGUGGGGAAUCUGCCUUUGAGCGGGGGACAACAUUUGGAAACGAAUGCUAAUACCGCAUAACAACUUUAAACAUAAGUUUUAAGUUUGAAAGAUGCAAUUGCAUCACUCAAAGAUGAUCCCGCGUUGUAUUAGCUAGUUGGUGAGGUAAAGGCUCACCAAGGCGAUGAUACAUAGCCGACCUGAGAGGGUGAUCGGCCACAUUGGGACUGAGACACGGCCCAAACCCCUACGGGAGGCAGCAGUAGGGAAUCUUCGGCAAUGGACGAAAGUCUGACCGAGCAACGCCGCGUGAGUGAAGAAGGUUUUCGGAUCGUAAAACUCGGUUGGUAGAGAAGAACGUUGGUGAGAGUGGAAAGCUCAUCAAGUGACGGUAACUACACAGAAAGGGACGGCUAACUACGUG